rnacentral:misc_RNA from 1 species
AACUUUUGGCAACGGAUCUCUUGGCUCUCGCAUCGAUGAAGAACGCAGCGAAAUGCGAUAAGUAAUGUGAAUUGCAGAUUUUCUGUGAAUCAUCGAAUCUUUGAACGCACCUUGCGCUCUCUGGUAUUCCAGAGAGCAUGCCUGUUUUAGUGUCGUUGAAUCAUCAACUCGACCGGCUUUGCCCCUUCGAGUUUGGAAUUGGAGCGUGCCGGCCCUUUGAAGGGGUUGGCUCCUCACGAAACGAUUAGCGAUGCCUGCUAGGCGGAUAGCCUUUUUGGUUUGAUAGAGGUCUACCACGGUGCCGUGAAGCCUCGCGGUCGCUUACUGUGUUCCCUCAUUCCGACUUGGACAUUCUUUACUGAUUAUGUCUUGAUUUCUAAUCGAUUCGAACGACAAGCGGUCCUUUGUUAUAUGAUUAAUCGAGGGCU